rnacentral:miRNA from 1 species
UAAACGGGAUGUGAUGAGCGGUA